rnacentral:miRNA from 1 species
AGCGUUGAUCUCACUGAGUUCC